ensembl:lncRNA
AUGAGUCUUUCUGUAUUCUCUGCAGGACUCUAUCCCUCUGCUUCUGCUUUACCUGGGAAACAUCCAAUCAGUGCUGCCAGGGCUCCUCUGCUGGAUAUGAACUGCCCUCUGAGGCCAUCCCCAGCCCAGGGCACACAGGUCCAUCCCCUGCCCAGGGACCACAGAUCCAUCCCGUGCCCAGGGAACACAGGUCUAUUCCCCUGCCCAGGGCACACAGGUCCAUUCCCUGCCCAGGGCACAGAGGUCUAUUCCCUGCCCAGGGCACACAGAUCUGUUCCCCUGCCCAGGGCACACAGGUCCAUUCCCUGCCCAGGGCACACAGGUCCAUUCCCUGCCCAUGGCACACAGGUCCAUCCCCUGCCCAGGGCACACAGAUCUAUUUCCCUGCCCAGGGCACACAGGUCUAUCCCCUGCCAGGGCACACAGGUCUAUCCCCUGCCAGGGCACACAGGUCCAUCCCCUGCCCAGGGCACACAGGUCCAUUCCCCUGUCCAGGGCACACAGGUCCAUCCCCUGCUCAGGGCACACAGGUCCAUUCCCUGCCCAGGGCACACAGGUCCAUCCCCUGCCCAGGGCACACAGGUCCAUCCCCUGCCAGGGCACACAGGUCCAUCCCCUGCUCAGGGCACACAGGUCCAUCCCCUGCCCAGGGCACGCAGGUCCAUCCCCUGCUCAGGGCACGCAGGUCCAUCCCCUGCCAGGGCACACAGGUCCAUCCCCUAACCAGGGAACAUAGGUCCAUCCCCUGCCCAGGGAACACAGGUCCAUCCCCUGCCAGGGCACACAGGUCCAUCCCCUGCAAGGGCACACAGGUCCAUCCCCUGCUGCUACUCAAGGGCUCAGCUCUUGCCAUUGCUCCCUGUCUCCAGCAUUAUCAGUUUUCCCCCAUCUACUGAAUCAUUCCCAUCAGCACACAGACUUUCUGUUUCUUCCCUCAAAAAGGAAACCUACCUUCCUUUUCCCACACAUUCUCUUCCAAAUACUGCUCCAUUUCUCUGUUCCCUUUUAUAGUAAAACUCCUCAAAGUAAAUGUCUACAAUGACUGCCCUCUGCUGCCACCCUCCCUUGAACCUGCCAAUUGAGCUUUCCUCCUCCCCACUCCACUAGGCUGCCCUUUUCAAGGUCAACAGUGACCCUGUGUUCCCAAAUCAAGGUCAAGUCUCAAUCCUAACCUUACUCCCGCAACCUGUGACACACUUGAUCCCCACCUUCUUCUGGAAACAUGAACCUCCUGGUUUCUGGACUCCAUGCUCCUGGAUUUCCUCCCACCUCCCUGGACACUCCUUCUCAGCCUCUUGUGAGGGCUGUCCUCAUCUAACACAGUGUGUGUGGCGGGGUGGGGGGUGGUGGUGGGGGGUGGGGGGGUGGAGCGGCUCCAGGACUGAGUUUGCAGAAGUCUUUUUAUCUCUACUUAUUGUCACUCCCCAGGUGACCCAUUAGCAGCUCUACUGCAUGUCACAGCCAUGUGAAUGGCACCUGUUUUUCCACCUCCGGUUCCAACCUCUCCCUUGAACUGCUUCCUGGCAACCUCAGUGUGAUGCCUCAAGCAUAACACAUCCAAACAGAAGGCUGUUUCUCCCCCUCGGUGCCUUCCUCUCUCCAGUCUUCUUCAUAUGGAAAUGGCAAUGAACUGCUUAUCCACUUGCUGAGACCAAAAGUGUUGGUGUUAAUCUUGACUUUUCUCUUUCUUACUCCACAUCCCUCUACCUUCAAAAUACAAGCAGAAGAUGACUACCUCUUGCCACUCUACCGUGUCUUAUCUAAUCCAAGCCAGCACUGUCUCCAGGCUGCCCUAUUGCAAUAGCAUCAAAGGUUGGCCCCCUGCUGGGGUAUCAACUCUGUGAGAGAAGAAAGUUUAUGUUUGGUGUCCUGCCACGUUCCCAGAGCCUAGAACAGUGCCUGAAACGUAUGAGAUCCUCUACCUCUAAAUAUUUACCAAGCAUGGCCAUGUGCCAAGCACUAAUUCGAGCAUUUUUACAUAAAUUAAUUAACUGAAUCUUUGAAACAGACCAUAAGGCAAGUGAUACGAUUAUCAUUUCCAUUUCACAGAAGUUGGAGCACAGAAAGGUUGACUAUUUUGCCCAAGAUCUCACAUCUAAUAGAUGGAGAUCCAGGAUUUGAACCCAGGCAGCAUGGCCCAGCACCUGCUGUCUUAACCACCAUAACCCACUUUCCUCAAAGAGCUCAUUGUCCAGCCUGAAGAAAUUGAUGAGGUGCCAUCCUGCCUGGCUCCCUGGACUUAUCAUCCAGCACCUUGGCUCUGACUGAGGCUCAGCUCUAUUCACCAGGCUUCUGUCCUGCCCUAAGAGCUGGUCCACAAUGGGUCCCAAUUCUGGUGUCUUCACCUUGUUUUACUCUUUGGUAAAAAGAGUCCUAAGGCUCUGUCUUGGCCCCCUUACCUUGUAUCCCUGUCCCCAGAGCUGGGUCCUGCCAGAGCCCUCUCCGGAUAUGAGAAGGCUUUCAGCUGUGUCACAGGCUGAGAGACCUCCGGAUGCUGACC